rnacentral:rRNA from 2 species
GACGAAGGGGGCUAGCGUUGUUCGGAAUUACUGGGCGUAAAGGGCGCGUAGGCGGUUUGUUAAGUCAGGCGUGAAAGCCCUGGGCUCAACCUGGGAUGUGCGUUUGAUACUGGCAAGCUUGAGUGCAGGAGAGGAUGGUGGAAUUCCCAGUGUAGAGGUGAAAUUCGUAGAUAUUGGGAAGAACACCGGUGGCGAAGGCGGCCAUCUGGACUGCAACUGACGCUGAGGCGCGAAAGCGUGGGGAGCAAACAGG